UACGUAGGGGGCUAGCGUUGUCCGGAUUUAUUGGGCGUAAAGGGCGCGUAGGCGGCACUGUUAGUCAGGCGUGAAAUUCCUGGGCUCAACCUGGGGACUGCGCUUGAUACGGCAGAGCUUGAGGAUGGAAGAGGGUCGCGGAAUUCCCAGUGUAGAGGUGAAAUUCGUAGAUAUGGGGAGGAACACCGGUGGCGAAGGCGGCCAUCUGGACGGAUACUGACGCUGAGACGCGAAAGCGUGGGUAGCAAACAGG
rnacentral:rRNA from 1 species